CCUCCCUCUUCUAUUUGGACGCUUUGGUGCUUGUUUAUUCCCAGGAUCCUCCCUUAUUCCGUCGUGACAGCGUUUCUUGCUAUUUUUAUCCAAUCCAUGGGAUAUUGAACAGCAUGUAUUUCGUCGUUCUCCCUCGGUGAUGAAUGAUUUGUGUCAAAACAUUGCUCGCGAUCCGCCGCUGCUGCUGUGAUGAUGGAGAGGCGGUGCGUGUCAGAGUGGGGCGGCUAGAGGCCCAGCAAAGCCCCGCGCUGGAAUUACUGCCCUGAACGAGCGACUGAACACCAACAGCGGAUUACCUCACAACAGCUCUCCGUUGUUACAGAAUAUUUAACUGGACCUAAAGAGAAGUUAUAAAGCAAACAGAUCAGAUGAAAGUCUGAACUAUGAUGGACAUUUACAUACAGCCCUAACAUCAGAAUCAGGUGAAGAAGAGGUUGGAGUCCCCCCCCCGCCCCCCCCGCUGUUAAAGAUUGUGAGGACAACACAUCAUGCCUCCAAGACCCUCCUCGGGGGAACUAUGGGGCAUCCAUUUGAUGCCCCCCAGGAUUCUGGUAGACUGUCUACUUCCCAAUGGCAUGAUCUUGACACUAGAGUGCCUCCGGGAGGCCACCCUCAUCACAAUCAAACAUGAACUGUUUAAGGAGGCAAGGAAGUACCCCCUCCACCACCUGCUGCAGGAGGAGACGUCCUAUAUUUUCGUCAGUGUAACGCAAGAGGCGGAGCGUGAGGAGUUCUACGAUGAGACCAGAAGACUUUGCGACCUUCGGCUGUUCCAGCCCUUCCUAAAGGUCAUAGAACCAGUAGGGAACAGAGAGGAAAAAAUCCUCAACAGAGAAAUUGGUUUUGCCAUCGGCAUGCCGGUGUGCGAGUUUGAUCUAGUGAAGGAUCCUGAGGUGCAGGACUUUAGGAGAAAUAUUCUUAAUGUCUGCAAAGACUCAGUAGAGCUGCGAGAUGCCAGUGGGUCACACAGUCGAGCACUGUAUGUUUAUCCUCCUAACGUGGAGUCUUCAUCAGAGCUUCCAAAGCAUAUAUUUGGCAAAUUAGACAAAGGUCAAAUCAUUGUGGUCAUCUGGGUGAUUGUCUCUCCCAACAACGACAAGCAAAAAUACACACUAAAAAUCAAUCACGAUUGCGUACCGGAGCAUGUGAUCGCUGAAGCCAUCAGGAAAAAGACCAGGAGCAUGCUGCUGUCCGCCGAGCAGCUAAAGAUGUGCGUGCAAGAAUAUCAGGGCAAAUACAUCCUGAAAGUCUGCGGCUGUGACGAGUACCUGUUGGAAAAGUACCCCAUUAGUCAGUACAAGUAUGUACGGAGUUGCAUUAUGCUGAAUCGGCUGCCAAACCUCAUGCUUAUGUCCAAGGACAGUCUUUACUCUCAGCUGCCUAUGGACAACUUCACCAUGCCCUCCUACGCCCGCCGCAUCUCCACCGCCACGCCUUACAUGAACGGAGAGGCCUCCACCAAAUCCCUCUGGACAAUUAACAGCACUCUAAGGAUACGUGUCCUUUGUGCCACAUACGUCAAUGUGAAUAUUCGGGACAUUGACAAGAUUUAUGUGCGGACGGGGAUCUACCAUGGUGGAGAACAGUUGUGUGAUAAUGUCAAUACACAGCGUGUGCCGUGUUCAAACCCAAGGUGGAACGAGUGGCUGACCUAUGACAUGUACAUUCCUGACAUCCCCCGGGCAGCUCGCCUCUGUCUCUCCAUCUGCUCUGUGAAAGGAAGGAAGGGGGCAAAAGAGGAGCACUGUCCACUGGCCUGGGGAAACGUCAACUUGUUUGACUACACGCACACUCUGGUCUCAGGAAAGAUGGCACUGAACCUGUGGCCAGUACCACACGGUCUUGAAGACCUCCUCAACCCAAUUGGGGUCACAGGCUCCAACCCUAAUAAGGAAACCCCAUGUCUGGAGCUGGAGUUCGACUAUUUCAGCUCCCCUGUAAAGUACCCUGACAUGGCCACGAUUGAGGAUCAUGCUAACUGGAUAAUAUCCAGGGAGAUGGGAUACAAUUACUGUCAGUCUGGACAGAGCAGCAGACUCGCGCGAGACCAUGCCAUGACGGAGGCUGAUAUAGAGCAACUUCGACAGCUGAGCAACAGGGACCCGCUAUCUGAGAUCACGGAGCAGGAAAAAGACUUCUUAUGGAGACACCGGCAGUAUUGUGUAAAUAUUCCAGAAAUCCUGCCCAAGAUUCUUCUGGCGGUGAAGUGGAAUUCCAGGGAUGAAGUUGCACAGAUGUUUUGCCUUCUUAAAGACUGGCCCGCAAUAAAGCCGGAACAAGCCAUGGAGUUGCUUGACUGUAACUAUCCUGAUCCAAUGAUCCGAGACUUCGCAGUUCGGUGCCUUGAGAAGUAUCUGACUGAUGACAAACUCUCGCAGUACCUCAUUCAGUUGGUUCAGGUUUUGAAGUAUGAGCAGUAUCUUGAUAACCCACUGGUGCGAUUUCUGCUGAAAAAAGCUCUUACCAACCAGAGGAUUGGGCACUUCUUCUUUUGGCAUUUAAAGUCAGAAAUGCACAAUAAAACCGUGAGUCAGCGGUUUGGUCUGCUGCUGGAGUCAUACUGUCGGGCAUGUGGCAUGUACCUGAAGCACCUGAGCAGACAGGUGGAAGCCAUGGAGAAGCUCAUCAACCUCACAGACAUUCUCAAACAGGAGAAGAAGGAUGAAACCCAGAAGGUGCAAAUGAAGUUCCUGGUGGAGCAGAUGAAGCGACCAGACUUCAUGGAUGCCCUCCAAAAUUUCACCUCUCCACUCAACCCCGCCCACCAGCUGGGUAAUCUACGACUUGAAGACUGCAGAAUCAUGUCCUCUGCCAAGAGACCGCUCUGGCUGAACUGGGAAAAUCCUGACAUCAUGUCCGAACUUCUCUUCCAAAACAAUGAGAUCAUCUUUAAGAAUGGGGAUGACCUGCGGCAAGACAUGCUGACACUACAGAUCAUCAGAAUAAUGGAGAACAUUUGGCAAAAUCAGGGGCUGGACCUGAGAAUGCUCCCCUAUGGCUGCUUGUCUAUUGGAGACUGCGUGGGUCUCAUUGAGGUGGUGAGAAGUUCCCACACCAUCAUGCAGAUUCAGUGUAAAGGAGGUCUAAAAGGUGCGCUUCAGUUUAACAGUUCAACAUUGCAUCAGUGGCUGAAGGACAAGAAUAGGGGCGAGAUGUACGACAUGGCCAUCGACUUGUUUACACGAUCGUGCGCUGGCUAUUGUGUGGCUACUUUCAUUCUGGGCAUCGGUGACAGACACAACAGUAACAUCAUGGUGAAGGAUGAUGGGCAGCUGUUUCAUAUAGAUUUUGGUCACUUUUUGGACCACAAGAAGAAGAAGUUUGGUUACAAGCGAGAGCGAGUGCCGUUUGUGUUAACCCAAGACUUCUUAAUUGUGAUCAGCAAAGGAGGGACCCAAGAGUGCACUAAAACCAGAGAGUUUGAGAGGUUCCAGGAGAUGUGCUACAAGGCUUACUUGGCUAUCAGACAGCAUGCCAACCUUUUCAUAAAUCUCUUCUCCAUGAUGCUGGGCUCAGGCAUGCCAGAGCUGCAGUCCUUCGACGACAUCGCUUACAUCCGAAAGACCCUGGCACUGGACAAAACAGAGCAAGAGGCCUUAGACUAUUUCAUGAAGCAGAUGAAUGACGCUCACCAUGGUGGAUGGACCACCAAGAUGGACUGGAUCUUUCACACCAUCCGGCACCAUGCCCAAAACUGAGCCGACAGAUCCCAGCCCCUGGUGGAAUGGGCAGAAACAAAACCCUUUUUGUAGGAAGCACUGCCUGUUUUAUGCCAUGAAGAAUCAUAGCACCCAAACCUCAUGUACAAAUGACCUUCAGAGCACUAAAACAACCUGGAAAGACAUGUUUUUUGUCCUCCUCUUGGUUUUUGUUUGUGUUUUACCUUAUAUGAGGCAACUCUUGCCCAUCAUUGCCCAGAGUGGUUGUACAAUAUAGCUGGGGUUUUGUCCUACAGUUUUUUUUUUUCUCUCCCCAUUGUGCUGCUCUUCUCCUGGAGAUUCAAUUCUUCUUCUUAUUAUUACUUCUUACAAUUUUUUUGCAGAAAACAAACCUUCAAAGACAAAAAAAAAUACGUUCUGCACUCUUCAGGAGCUUUUAUGGGGAUGUUCAUGUCUUCCUGUUUAAAACUACAAAUGCCUUCUAAAAUGCACGGAACCUCUGAGAACACUAGAAAAACAGGAUCAAUGAUGUUUUUCCAGUUCCAGUGUGUGAAACAUCAAGGGAAUCCAGGUUAUCGUCUCUCUGUGUUUUCUCGGUUGUCCAGUGCGAUUGAGCAGCACAGAAUAACGAUUGUCCUUUCAGAUGCCCUGGCAGCGUGCAGAUAUGAAGCCUUAAUACAAUCGCUUAGUAUGAAUGGAUAUUCUUCUCCACGUGUCCUUGCAUGCCACAGGAAAGCAAACACUUGUUGGUGCUUUGACGCUGGGUAGUUAGGAAAGACAAAACCUCCGCUUCAUCUCUCCUUCCGUUGACUCUGGGUACUUUAUUCUACUACACUAAAGCUGGCAAGACCUUUCCUUUUUAGCCUGACUCUUUUUCUUUUAAACAGAUGCCACCUGUGGUUUGUGCGCGAGGCAUUAAAGGGAUAGUCCAGCCAAAAAAGAAAAUUAUUUUAUUUACUGUAAAUGUUGGGAUCUAAACCAAAAUUGACUUCUAAAGAAUGAACAAAGAAAAAUACCAAUACCAAAGUCAAUGGGAACUGAAACUGGUUUUCAUCAU